rnacentral:rRNA from 1 species
UCGGGAAUAUUGCGCAAUGGAGGAAACUCUGACGCAGUGACGCCGCGUGCAGGAAGAAGGUUUUCGGAUUGUAAACUGCUUUAGACAGGGAAGAAACAAGACAGUACCUGUAGAAUAAGCUCCGGCUAACUACGUGCCAGCAGCCGCGUAAUACGUAGGGAGCAAGCGUUAUCCGGAUUUAUUGGGUGUAAAGGGUGCGUAGACGGGAAGGCAAGUUGGUUGUGAAAUCCCUCGGCUUAACUGAGGAACUGCAACCAAAACUAUCUUUCUUGAGUGCUGGAGAGGAAAGUGGAAUUCCUAGUGUAGCGGUGAAAUGCGUAGAUAUUAGGAGGAACACCAGUGGCGAAGGCGACUUUCUGGACAGUAACUGACGUUGAGGCACGAAAGUGUGGGGAGCAAAUAGGAUUAGAUACC